AAGAGUUUUACCAGCUUUUAACCAGGCUGGAGAAGAGGAAAAAGGUCCCUGCAUGCCUAGCCACCUUGAGCCCCGCUGCUGGACACAGGGGACCACCUGUUACGAUCUAUGCCCAUCAGACAUGAUCUGAGACCUGAACACUGAGCCUCAUCUGGACUUCCAUCCACCCGUGUGAGCUCAGGGGCCAGCACGACAAUCCUGACACCAUGGAAGAUUCAAGGUGCACAGGUGCGUGGCCAACAGGCUCCUCUGGAAACCUGGAAGGAAAUCAUGGGAAGCAGCAGGAGCUUCAACAGCCGCGGGUGGAACUCCACAGACACUGUGGGGCGCCAGCGGCUCAGCACGGUGAGGGGACCGGCUGCAGACCGG
rnacentral:lncRNA from 1 species